rnacentral:rRNA from 1 species
UACGGAGGAUCCGAGCGUUAUCCGGAUUUAUUGGGUGUGAAGGGUGCGUAGGCGGUCUGGUAAGUCAGAUGUGAAAGCUUACGGCUCAACCGUGAAAUUGCAGUUGAUACUGUUAGGCUUGAGUAUACAUGAGGUGGGCGGAAUUUGUGGUGUAGCGGUGAAAUGCUUAGAUAUCACAAAGAACUCCAAUUGCGAAGGCAGCUCACUGGAGUAAAACUGACGCUGAUGCACGAAGGUGUGGGUAUCAAACAGG